CCUACGGGAGGCAGCAGUGGGGAAUAUUGCACAAUGGGGGAAACCCUGAUGCAGCGACGCCGCGUGAGUGAAGAAGUAAUUCGUUAUGUAAAGCUCUAUCAGCAGGGAAGAAAAUGACGGUACCUGAGUAAGAAGCCCCGUCUAACUACGUGCCAGAGGCCGCGGUAAUACGUAGGGGGCAAGCGUUAUCCGGAUUUACUGGGUGGAAAGGGAGCGUAGACGGCAGUGCAAGUCUGGAGUGAAAGGCGGGGGCUCAACCCCCGGACUGCUCUGGAAACUGUACGGCUGGAGUGCAGGAGAGGUAAGUGGAAUUCCUAGUGGAGCGGUGAAAUGCGUAGAUAUUAGGAGGAACACCAGUGGCGAAGGCGGCUUACUGGACUGUAACUGACGUUGAGGCUCGAAAGCGUGGGGAGCAAACAGGAUUAGAUACCCUGGUAGUC
rnacentral:rRNA from 1 species